rnacentral:rRNA from 1 species
UCCGGUUGAUCCUGCCGGACCUGACUGCUAUCGGAUUGAUACUAAGCCAUGCGAGUCAUUGUAGCAAUACAAGGCAUACGGCUCAGUAACGCGUAGUCAACCUAACCUAUGGACGGGAAUAACCUCGGGAAACUGAGAAUAAUGCCCGAUAGAACACUAUACCUGGAAUGGUUUAUGUUCCAAAUGAUUUAUCGCCGUAGGAUGGGACUGCGGCCUAUCAGUUUGUUGGUGAGGUAAUGGCCCACCAAGACUAUUACAGGUACGGGCUCUGAGAGGAGUAGCCCGGAGAUGGGUACUGAGACACGGACCCAGGCCCUAUGGGGCGCAGCAGGCGAGAAAACUUUGCAAUGUGCGAAAGCACGACAAGGUUAAUCCGAGUGAUUUGUGCUAAACGAAUCUUUUGUUAGUCCUAGAAACACUAACGAAUAAGGGGUGGGCAAGUUCUGGUGUCAGCCGCCGCGGUAAAACCAGCACCUCAAGUGGUCAGGAUGAUUAUUGGGCCUAAAGCAUCCGUAGCCGGCUCUGUAAGUUUUCGGUUAAAUCUGUACGCUUAACGUACAGGCUGCCGGGAAUACUGCAGAGCUAGGGAGUGGGAGAAGUAGACGGUACUCGGUAGGAAGUGGUAAAAUGCUUUGAUCUAUCGAUGACCACCUGUGGCGAAGGCGGUCUACUAGAACACGUCCGACGGUGAGGGAUGAAAGCUGGGGGAGCAAACCGGAUUAGAUACCCGGGUAGUCCCAGCUGUAAACUAUGCAAACUCAGUGAUGCAUUGGCUUGUGGCCAAUGCAGUGCUGCAGGGAAGCCGUUAAGUUUGCCGCCUGGGAAGUACGUACGCAAGUAUGAAACUUAAAGGAAUUGGCGGGGGAGCACCACAAGGGGUGAAGCCUGCGGUUCAAUUGGAGUCAACGCCGGA